AGCAGCAUGGCAUAGUGGUCUGAGUCUUGGACUAUAAUCCAAUCUGGAGAUCAGGGUUCAAUUCCCUGCUUGGCCA